GGAUUAGGCAUGCAAGUCGAACGGUAGAGUGCUUUCGGGCACUUGAGAGUGGCGAACGGGUGAGUAACACGUAGGUGAUCUACCCUCAAAUCGGGGACAACCCAGGGAAACUUGGGCUAAUACCGGAUGAGUGCGGUAACGCAUAAAAGGUGGCGUAAGCUGCCGUUUGGGGAUGAGCCUGCGCCCUAUUAGUUAGUUGGUGAGGUAAUGGCUCACCAAGGCGAUGAUAGGUAGGCGGCCUUAACGGGUGGUCGCCCACACUGGGAUUGAGAUACGGCCCAGACUCCUACGGGAGGCAGCAGUCGAGAAUAGUCUACAAUGGACGAAAGUCUGAUAGUGCGACGCCGCGUGAACGAAGAAGCCCUUCGGGGUGUAAAGUUCUUUUAUAUGUGAGCAAUGCUUCUUAGGUGAAUAGUCUGAGGAGAGAGAUAUUAGCAUAUGAAUAAGCAAUGGCUAACUCCGUGCCAGCAGCCGCGGUAAUA
rnacentral:rRNA from 1 species